rnacentral:rRNA from 1 species
GCGUGGGUGAUGAAGGUCUUCGGAUUGUAAAGCCCUUUUGGCGGGGACGAUGAUGACGGUACCCGCAGAAUAAGCUCCGGCUAACUUCGUGCCAGCAGCCGCGGUAAUACGAAGGGAGCAAGCGUUGUUCGGAUUUACUGGGCGUAAAGAGUGCGUAGGUGGUUUGAUAAGUUGGAUGUGAAAGCCCUGGGCUUAACUCAGGAAUAGCAUUCAAAACUAUCUGACUUGAGUAUGGAAGAGGAUGGUGGAAUUCCCAGUGUAGAGGUGAAAUUCGU